rnacentral:rRNA from 1 species
UACGUAGGGGGCAAGCGUUGUCCGGAUUCAUUGGGCGUAAAGAGCUCGUAGGCGGCUUGGCAAGUCGGGUGUGAAACCUCCAGCUCAACCUGGAGACGCCACCCGAUACUGCCAUGGCUAGAGUCCGGUAGGGGACCACGGAAUUCCUGGUGUAGCGGUGGAAAUGCGCAGAUAUCAGGAGGAACACCGGUGGCGAAGGCGGUGGUCUGGGCCGGAACUGACGCUGAGGAGCGAAAGCGUGGGGAGCAAACGGG